GGUAAUAGCUUAGAUUUGAAUCUUAAUUGAUUAAGUUGUUUUCCAUGUGUCGAGAACCUUGAAACAUUUUGUUGCUUCUUGAUAAAUGUGAAUUUGCUCCUGCAGGAUGGGUGUAGAUUCUGCAGAGUGCAUUCAGACACUCACAAGAUUGGGAUCAUGCUCUGGACCAGCUCACUCAAAGCAGACUUACAAACAGAAUGAAAAGUUAUGGGUCCUGGAUGUACUUUGGAUGCAUGAACGUGAUAUACAGUAACAGCACAUAAAAGGGAAAUAUCAAUUAUUUUUUCAGCUUUGAGUCCAGCACUUACACCACAUUUCUUGGAAUCUUUAAGCUGAAUGUCCACCUGCAGGAAAAAAACCGAGACAGAAACUGAAGAUCCAGCAACAGCAGAGGAAUUGUCUAACAUAAAAAAUUCUGAAGGAUGAUGGAGCUGCAUUUCUUUGAGAAUCUUCUAUCCAAGAGAUAACUUCAAAAAACGUGACAUGUAUUUGGUACAAAGUGUCAUCUGAAUAAUUUAUAUAAUAUUCCUCCCACCAUACUGCUCAUAAAAGUGCAAGUGAAGAGCUGUAACAAAAGUGAUAAUGUAAGGAAAGAGCCUAAGAAUUGAAAUGACAGCACAGAACUAAGAUUUAUACUCCACGUUAUAAAAAUGGAAGGGCCAAGGCAUUUCCAGGUCAUAAGAAAAAUAGCUUCUCUGUGCUUUUAUAAUAUAGUACUCAUUUACAUUUUUGUGUAAGUAUAUGUGAUACUCAAAUAACCAUGGUGCAUGCCCAUAACUAUACAGAGGACAAAAAAAGACCCUAUGUUGAUGUUAAUGAGAAGUUUAUUGUCCUGUUUCAUAUCAAAGCAGCCUUAAAAGGUAAAUACAAUAGUAUUCAUCAACCUCGCAGUACAGAACAUACGCACUGGAGAUUGAUUCUCUGUUAACAUUACUAUCAUCGUAUUGAAGCGUAUCUGAUCUGAUUAAAAGUUUAAUUCUUGUUCUACAUAGUCAUUAUGGUGCUAAAGCAACUUUCACCAUUCUACGUGUAUUUCUUACAUGUGUUUGUCUAACAUGGGGUUAUGGGGCUUAUUCAAAUUGGAAAAGGAAUUCAUCAUUAAUAAGUAAGUUUAAGUUGGCUGAAAAUUAAAUUUAGGGACCUAAAUCUUAACUGUCGUUACAGCCACAUAAAUUGAGAUUAAUAUCUUCAAAGUCAACAUAAUAGAAGAAAGAACAUACCUUUAAAGGUCUUGCUUUAGAGCCAGCUGGAAGUUGAUUUGGUACUGUGUAACCAGCUGUGCUUCAUAAUGCAGCUCACUCACACAGAAUGCUGGUUUUAGACAAAGUAGACAUCUAGUGGACUUCUCUACAAAUGCUUUCCAACAAUCCUUAUUUUACCUUCUCCAUCACAGCACUUAGGCUCAUUCCAUUCUGCUGGUCCUGUAAUGAGUCCAUUCCCCCUCCACUAGAUUGAUACUCCCAUAUUACCUGUUCAACAGGAUGGUUUUCCCAUCUGCUGUUCACAACAGGUUAGCUAUCCUAGGAUCUCACACGACUUUGCCGCAGAGAGCAAGGAACAAAGCCACAGUAAACCUAAAGCAAUAUUUCAAUAAAAGUCAUCAUAAUCAACAAGAACUUAAAGUUGCAAGCCAUCUCCAUCAUUACUUUUAAUCACUUCCUUAACUGAUGCUCAGCCUGAUGCCUGUGUGUACUGCUAGUCUUUAAUGGCCCUGACAGGCCUCACCUGGGAGCCCCUACCCCACAUGUCCUUGCAUGGCCCCCAGAUUUGAUUCAUCCCCUGGUUGGGCAUGGGGCUGUUGAUGGAUGCAUUUACUGAAUGUGGCUUUUCAACUGAGCUUUGUUGUGCUUGUACUGUAGUGGGUGAGGACACUGCAGUGACCAACCUCAUCUCCCAGCCUGCCCUGCCUUACACAGUAGCCCUGUUCCCACUUUCCCUGACACAAAGAAGUAUGCUUUAAUUUUUCUCAUUGUAACUUUCUUUUUCUUUUUCUAAAGCAAGCUCUCUUCAGAAAGAAAUGGUAGAUGCUAUGUUGUCUUAAAAAGUUAUUGUUAUGAUAUACAACUGCAGAAUAAGGCCACCAUGAUAUAUGUUUUAAAUAACGCAAAGGGAUGGAGAAUAAAAUAAUAAAACACAGCUAGCAUGUUUUUGUGCAUACUCUGCUCUGAACUGCAAUUUGCUGACAAUAUAAGACCUAAGGGUAAUGUGUUUAUACUAAUUUGGUUGUAAUACCCCAUUGCAUUCUAACAUUUUGCUUUAUUUCCCUCAGUCAACUUUCGUGCUCAGUCAAAACAUUCCUUGACUUUCCUCAGAAGCUAUAGCAGAGACUUUACAAAUAACAAUUUUAGCCCUCAUUUUCCAGUGCUGCAGUUCUGCUCUGGUACUGUAGAAGAAGGAAACCGCUUCUUUAAAGCAAAACUGCACUUCUCAGUAAACCAUGUAUAUUUAUUGAUAUAAACCAGUUCAGGCAAUUAAUUGAAGACCUGAUUUGUGUGAUCUCUGAUGUGAGUAAGAGCCUCUCUCACUUGAGCAAGGGCUUUCAAGACUUUAUUUGUAUAGUGCAAAUAUAAUUUUCUUUAAACUUCUACCAUCAAUUAGAGAAUCCAGGAUGUCUUGACAAGAUAGACUGUGAAACUAAAUAUAGCUGACCUACUGAACAAGGUGACUGAAGGGACAUUAAACUGUAAUAAGCAUUUUUGCAUUGAAGGGACAACUAUUUGUCUGUAAGAGGCAUGAAAUAUCUUUUGGUGUUAGCUUUUUCUUGUUCUUUUUUCUUUCCCACUUCUAAGCUCACAGUUCUCAUAACACCUGCAAUGGUUUGGUUUCCAGCCACUUUUAUCUGUGAAAUUUAUCUUCAUCAAAGCAAUAAUUAAAUGCAAAUUGUACAUGUAGCGGUAUCUGUAUUAACAACAAUACCUGAUGCUUUGCUACAGAGCAUGAUCUCACAUUUAGGAACUGAAACUAAUACAAAUUUUAGUUGCCUGGUGUUUAACAAAAUGCUUCCUUAUUAAGUUGCGCAUUAGGCAGAAGAUUCUGAACUGGGAUAUGAGCAGAGGGUAUUUCUGGUGAAGGAUCAUUGUCAAUUAAGAAAAAUUUGAUUUGGUACCCUAGGGCUUGGAUUUACAGCAUUUACGGACAUUGAUGUCAUGCUGCAAUGCAGUCUUUCCACUCGGCUCUUUUCUGAUGAUAACUCUAAAGUAAGCAGAGGAAUAGAUUACAAAGGCCCCUUCUUAUAGAGCAUGGUCUGCUUUGUAGUAAUCUUUGAGGUUUACCAGUCUUCUACUGAAUUCACAUUUUAAUAAAUCCUACUUAGUAGAAAGGUAAUGUGCGGUACAUUCGGUGCCAAUUUGUUCUUCUCAAGAUUGUGUUAUAAAAGAGGAAACCACACUGCUUGCUUAUAACAUCUCACAGAAUUUUAUUUUAAAUAUGCUUUCACAUAUGUCGUGUUUCCCAGAAAUUCUAGAGUUAUGAAAAAUUGAUGAUACACUGAUGUCAUAAAGAUCGCAAAUACUGAAUUCCUUCAGUAAGAGAGUGAUUGCUCUUUAGUUACUUUCUUCACCAUGCUGAUCUUCUCUGCUCUCUCUAGCAAUACUUUUGUCCUUAACUUUCAGUCUCAUUCAAGCUGGCUGUGUAAUGUCCACUGCUACAACUCCAUACUUGCCCAGUGCCAACAGCUGUCUGUGCAGCUGUGUUACACUAUGUGGUAUGCUCUGCAUGGUCAGUUUUGUUGCCCUGUUUUAACUGAGAAUGAGAUUAUGCUAUAAAACUGCAUUAAGCUCUUUAUGAAAGUAAGGAAUAAUCAAAAGUACAUGAAGUAUUGCAACACCUGGAUUACAAAUUAAUACAUAUUUUUAUUUUAAAAGUAAUUAAAUGCUAGGAUGUACUUUUUGUUUGUGAUCUUGCUUGUCUGUUUGGUAUAUGUAGACACCAAGGCUGAGCCAGAAAGCACUGGGUACAGGUACCUCUGUGAUAACCUUACAAAGGUAUUGCUCAUUUUGGCUGUGGUGCGUUUGAUAUUUGUUUAUGUAUUUUCUAGUGCAUUGUCAGAUUAUGUAUUAUAAGAUACUUGUAGAAUUGUCAUCAACAUUUUUGAAGUGGGGACAUUUUGUUUAAAAGGUUUAUUUGAGUAUCUUUGAAGACAGUAUAUGAAUUACCUACACUUGAUUACAAUGCACGUAGUAUCCUUUCUUAAACAGCAGGAUAGAAAGCAAAUGUUCACUGAAAUUAUUUCCAUAAGCCAAGGAUACAAAAUGAAGCUUAAGAGGCCUUAGGCUCCAGUUACCCAACUUGCCUGCAACUGCAAAAUCAUUCCUGAAAUAAGACAUGUAAUAUUACACUUUCACUGCUUUGUACGGGUAAUGAAGGAUCAUUACCCUGAUUUUUUUAUGCUUACUUCUUUUGCCAUGGGCAAUUUUAUCUAAAGUACUGUAAAAGGGAACAGACAGUGUAAGGUAAAUUCCUGAAACUAAAACUGUUAUUGAAGUUGGUGCUGAUGCCUGCACAACCUUAAGAACAAUACUACUGAAGAUAAACUUUGUCUUUUUUAGUACUGUCUCUCACUCUGACAAACAACACAGCUGUGAUUCAGAGGAGAAAAGCAGUGAAAUGGAAUUUACCCAGGAACUGGAAAAAUAUUUCUGCUAGAUUUUUACACCUAGAAGAGCUUGUAUAACACUUACACCUUCUGCAUUUUCUGCUCUCUAAUGAAGAAACCUGUGGUGUAGGAAAAGAAGUCAGGCUCUUUAUCCUUUAUGCAGCAUAGCUUGGACAGUCCAGAAUUAAAAGCAACAUAUACCCAGCUGGGACUGUAAUAAGUUUUUGCUAGUCCAUAAUCAAAUAAUGUUUUAUAACUAAGCAAUAACAGGCCUCAUCAUGUGAACAGAAGACCUCAGAGAAACACAGAACAUUACAGAAGUGGUUUUAGUGGUUCAUUAGUUGGCACCACUCCCUUCUGGGUCUGUAACAAAUGGCUUACAUAGCCCGGCUUGAGAGCUGUUACAGAAUGUUGUGUUGUAUAAGGUAUAUGAACAAACCACCCUUAUUGUCAUCUUUAGAAAUGUGCCAGCAAGCAGUUUAAAUGACUUGGAAGAUUUUUUAUUUUUUUUUUUCCUCCAUAAAAUAGUUCUCUGAAUUAAAAGCUUUUCUUUUACUUUUGUGCUCCCCCCACCACCCCAGUCCUCCCAGCAUUUGAGGUUCAGAUGCUUGUCUGAAAGGUAGAGGGGCAAAUGUAAA